ACUUGGUGUUACUGCGAAGGGGGGACGGAGAAGGCUAUGUUGGCCGGGCGACGGUUGUCCCGGUUUAAGCGUGUAGGCUGGUUUUCCAGGCAAAUCCGGAAAAUCAAGGCUGAGGCGUGAUGACGAGGCACUACGGUGCUGAAGCAACAAAUGCCCUGCUUCCAGGAAAAGCCUCUAAGCAUCAGGUAACAUCAAAUCGUACCCCAAACCGACACAGGUGGUCAGGUAGAGAAUACCAAGGCGCUUGAGAGAACUCGGGUGAAGGAACUAGGCAAAAUGGUGCCGUAACUUCGGGAGAAGGCACGCUGAUAUGUAGGUGAAGUCCCUCGCGGAUGGAGCUGAAAUCAGUCGAAGAUACCAGCUGGCUGCAACUGUUUAUUAAAAACACAGCACUGUGCAAACACGAAAGUGGACGUAUACGGUGUGACGCCUGCCCGGUGCCGGAAGGUUAAUUGAUGGGGUUAGCCGCAA
rnacentral:rRNA from 1 species